UAAUUUAAUGAUAAGGAUGAUUUAAGGUAUUUUUAAAAAUAUAAGGACUAAACAAACACUAAUUUCAAAAUAUAAGGACUAAACAAACUUUUACCUUUAAAUAAUAAUAGACACUGCCUAAAUCAAAUAAUUCUCGAUCUCACUCGGAGUCAAAUCAAUUAUCGUGACGAGUCAUGUUCGUUAGGCUAACUUAGACGUGGGUCCCGCACUAAUGAUCGGUGACACGUGUUCGGCUUCUGCCCUUACGACGUGAUCGGACGGUUGCGGUUGGUGGCAGACGGUCGUGACGUGAUCAACUCCCCCGCCCGCAGCGCUGUGCCUCGACACGUGUUCUCUAUGGGCCGCUUAUAAAUCUCCCCUCUUAUCUUCCGGAGGAAAUAUAAGCCCAGAAAGGGCAAUAUCACGUGCUUGUCAAGGAUCCUCUAACAAGUUAUCCGCUUACACGCGUCGCUUUUCCAUUAAUUUCUCCAUUCAAUGUUAAAAAAAAUAUAUUUUUCUCACCGUCCUUGGAUGGGCAAUGGCAAUGGUCCAAUCAAAGGCCCGCUUUAGAUAGUUUACGGGUUGAGAUGACGUCAUGCUUGGGUAAUGCCACGCGUACGUACACGUGGAAGGUUAUAAAACCUUGGACGGUGAGUUUAAUUGGAGCUUGGUCGCUUUGUCGUAUGGUCCUAUGUUGAAGGCAAAACGACAUUGGAACUUUUCACUAAUUUUUAUCCUUUUCUUUUUUUUUUUAAUGCUCAAGAUUUUUAGGGUUUCUCUUGUUCUAUCAACUUCAAUCACAUAUCAAAAUAGUUGUGUGUAUAAAAUAAAAGCAGGGUUUUGGCUUUUAAUUAAAAUUCCACAUGGAGAUCCUUUUCUAAUGAUAUGAUCUUCAAAAACAAAAACAAAAACAAAGGUUGAGAUCUAAAAUUAUGUGAUUGAUUGUUUGCAUAUCGUUAUCUUAAUUUAAUUGUGUUCUACGUAUCGGCAUUCUAAGGUCACUGAUUGUUAUUUUCAUAUCAUUUUUCCCGAAGACUAUAUCUAAGUUUUUUUGUCUCUUGUUUCUUGUUCUUCUUGAGAGGGAUGACCCAAGCUUUUGUCCAAUUGAAAUGAUCGAAUCUACGUAUUUUUCAACUUGCUACGCACACACACAGAGCACAAUGUACAUUCCUUGAUGACUAAAGAUGUUACUACCAAAAACCAGAAAUCACAUAUUGAGAUAUAUAUUCAUUUGUGUAUACGCUACACUACGCAAUGGAGGUUAUAUAUUGGUCGAAUAACUAACACUAGACUACUCAUGUAGUAUUAUAAUAUUUUCACACCAUGAUACUCAUGNNN
rnacentral:lncRNA from 1 species